rnacentral:tRNA from 1 species
CGGGAUGUGGCGCAGCUUGGUAGCGCAUCUGCUUUGGGAGCAGAGGGUCGCAGGUUCAAAUCCUGUCAUCCCGAC